rnacentral:rRNA from 1 species
ACUCCUACGGGAGGCAGCAGUGGGGAAUAUUGCACAAUGGGCGCAAGCCUGAUGCAGCCAUGCCGCGUGUGUGAAGAAGGCCUUCGGGUUGUAAAGCACUUUCAGUUGUGAGGAAGGUGGUGUCGUUAAUAGCGGCAUCAUUUGACGUUAGCAACAGAAGAAGCACCGGCUAACUCCGUGCCAGCAGCCGCGGUAAUACGGAGGGUGCGAGCGUUAAUCGGAAUUACUGGGCGUAAAGCGCAUGCAGGUGGUUUGUUAAGUCAGAUGUGAAAGCCCGGGGCUCAACCUCGGAACUGCAUUUGAAACUGGCAGACUAGAGUACUGUAGAGGGGGGUAGAAUUUCAGGUGUAGCGGUGAAAUGCGUAGAGAUCUGAAGGAAUACCGGUGGCGAAGGCGGCCCCCUGGGACAGAUACUGACACUCAGAUGCGAAAGCGUGGGGAGCAAACAGGAUUAGAUACCCUGGUAGCACAGAG